rnacentral:rRNA from 1 species
UACGGAGGGUGCAAGCGUUAUCCGGAUUCACUGGGUUUAAAGGGUGCGUAGGCGGCUUGUUAAGUCAGUGGUGAAAGCUCGCAGCUUAACUGUGAAACUGCCAUUGAAACUGACAAGCUUGAGUACGAUUGAUGUGGGCGGAAUACAACAUGUAGCGGUGAAAUGCUUAGAUAUGUUGUAGAACACCGAUUGCGAAGGCAGCUCACAAAAUCGCAACUGACGCUGAGGCACGAAAGCGUGGGGAGCAAACAGG